AUACUUACCUGGCAAGGGAGAUACCAUGAUCAUGAAGGUGGUUUUCCCAGGGCGAGGCUUAUCAGUUACACUCUGAAUGUGCUGACCCCUCUGAUUUCCCCAAAUGUGGGAAAUUGGACUGCAUAAUAUGUGGUAGUGGGGGACUGCAUUCUCCCCUG